UACGGGGGGGAGCAAGCGUUGUUCGGAUUUACUGGGCGUAAAGGGCGCGUAGGCGGCCAGCACAAGUCAGUUGUGAAAUCUCCGAGCUUAACUCGGAAAGGUCAACUGAUACUGUGCGGCUAGAGUGCGGAAGGGGCAACUGGAAUUCUUGGUGUAGCGGUGAAAUGCGUAGAUAUCAAGAGGAACACCUGCGGCGAAGGCGGGUUGCUGGGCCGACACUGACGCUGAGGCGCGAAAGCCAGGGGGAGCGAAUGGG
rnacentral:rRNA from 1 species